CUAUGCACCAUUCCUACUUGAGGAUUUUUUCCCCUCCCCGGGAAUCUUCUCAAGUGCUUCCCCAGCUGCUGGUCUAUAACAGUUUUUCAGCCGUGGCAAAUGAAGUCAUCACAUACCAGAGCGUUCCUAAGUCUGCUUUGUCAAAACUCUGGUAGGGGAAGAGGCCGAUCGUGCCUUGAGUACCACACACCAAAAGACCUGAUGUGUAAAUCGGCCCUCUUCCACCUUCCAAGAC